ACAGAUGUUGCUGCUAACGGUGGCUGUAAACCUGUGCUCAGGUGAACUAGGGUUUGCCUCACCUGGCUUCCAUGAACUUAAUCAUGCUCAGAAACCUCAGAAUGAAGUGUUGAUUGAUAUUUCUCAGAGGUGCUUCCCUAUGGAGAGUCUCACACCAAAGGGAUGAGUAUCUAAGUGGUGAAUGCCUGAGAAGCCUCCGCCCUCUAAUGAAGAUCUUCCCAACUUGUGUUCUGGGUCUCAAAGAUGUGACAGUUUGAAAUAAUUCUCUAAUGACCCAACAUGGCAUAGUGAAGAUAGCUCUGACCUUG